rnacentral:rRNA from 1 species
UACGAAGGGGGCUAGCGUUGUUCGGAUUUACUGGGCGUAAAGCGCACGUAGGCGGAUCGUUAAGUCAGGGGUGAAAUCCUGGAGCUCAACUCCAGAACUGCCUUUAAUACUGCCAGUCUCGAGUCCGGAAGAGGUAAGUGGAGCUCCUAGUGUAGAGGUGGAAUUCGUAGAUAUUAGGAAGAACACCAGUGGCGAAGGCGGCUUACUGGUCCGGUACUGACGCUGAGGUGCGAAAGCGUGGGGAGCAAACAGG